CCUCUAGCAUCCAAUAGGAGCCCCCGACAUAAGAACCGACCCAGGGCACUUGGCGGCUCCGGAAAGCAAUCACCAGCAGAGGGAGAGAAAAUGACGUUCCCCAUAAACGUCUUAGACAUGAGCUUGCAAAGCUGCUGGCCAAGAGGCAUGUUCUGUGUGGAGAAGAGAGAGGCUGGGAGAGGUUAUUUAUCUUCUCCUGUUUCUCCGUUGGAGCAAGAGAACAAGACAAGUCUCACCAGCAAUAUUGUGGGAAAAUACUCUCUCAUGAUGCGGGGCGGCAGCAGCCAGCCGCAGGGAACAGCGACUAAAUCAGCCACACAAUGACGAGGGUCUAGGGAUUGAACCCAGGAUCUCACAAAUGUCAGACAAGCACUUCACCUCCAUACCUCCAUGUUUAAAUAUCUGCAAUUUUAUUUGGUUCAACCGAUAGAGGAAAAUGCCUAAAAAUAUACACUAAACUAGAAGUUACAGUUUUUUAUAGGAAGAGGUGACAUCCAGUGAGUGAGACAAUGAAUUAAAAGAAACAAAGAGUAAUCUCACUCUUAAAUUGUUUACAUUUUUUACACGGAGCAUCUACACAUUUUAUACACUUUAAAACUAAGUACUUCUUAACAAUAAUCUGUAGCAUUUAAAAGCAAAUGAAAC